GUCAGUGGUGAAAGCCCAUCGCUCAACGGUGGAACGGCCAUUGAUACUGCUUGACUUGAAUUAUUAGGAAGUAACUAGAAUAUGUAGUGUAGCGGUGAAAUGCUUAGAGAUUACAUGGAAUACCAAUUGCGAAGGCAGGUUACUACUAAUAUAUUGACGCUGAUGGACGAAAGCGUGGGURGSGAACAGGAUUAGAUACCCUGGUAGUCCACGCCGUAAACGAUGGAUACUAGCUGUUGGGAGCAAUCUCAGUGGCUAAGCGAAAGUGAUAAGUAUCCCACCUGGGGAGUACGAACGCAAGUUUGAAACUCAAAGGAAUUGACGGGGGCCCGCACAAGCGGUGGAGCAUGUGGUUUAAUUCGAUGAUACGCGAGGAACCUUACCAAGGCUUAAAUGUAGAUUGACCGGUUUGGAAACAGAUCUUUCGCAAGACAAUUUACAAGGUGCUGCAUGGUUGUCGUCAGCUCGUGCCGUGAGGUGUCAGGUUAAGUCCUAUAACGAGCGCAACCCCUGUUGUUAGUUGCCAGCGAGUCAUGUCGGGAACUCUAACGAGACUGCCAGUGCAAACUGUGAGGAAGGUGGGGGAUGACGUCAAAUCAUCACGGCCCUUACGCCUUGGGCUACACACGUGCUACAAUGGCCGGUACAGAGAGCAGCCACUGGGYGACCAGGAGCGAAUCUACAAAACCGGUC
rnacentral:rRNA from 1 species